rnacentral:rRNA from 1 species
GUGGUCAGUACUUGGAUGGGUGACCGCCUGGGAAUACCGCGUGAUGUUGGCUU